rnacentral:rRNA from 1 species
AACGAGCGCAACCCCUCGCAUUCAGUUGCCAUCGGGUAAGUGCCGGGCACUCUGGAAGGACUGCCAUCGACAAGAUGGAGGAAGGUGGGGAUGACGUCAAGUCAUCAUGGCCCUUAUGUCCAGGGCGACACACGUGCUACAAUGGCCGGCACAACGGGAAGCGAGUUCGCGAGGACGAGCGGAUCCCUUAAAGCCGGUCGCAGUUCGGAUUGAAGUCUGCAACUCGACUUCAUGAAGCUGGAAUCGCUAGUAAUCGUGGAUCAGCCAAGCCGCGGUGAAUACGUUCCCGGGCCUU